GACGAACGCUGGCGGCGUGCUUAACACAUGCAAGUCGAACGGGAGUAUUGAAGAAGCUUGCUUUAGAGAUACUUUAGUGGCGGACGGGUGAGUAACGCGUGAGGAGCUGUCCAAUGCAGGGGGACAACAGUUGGAAACGACUGCUAAUACCCCAUAAGCCGAGAGGUAAAAGGAUUUAUCCGGCAUGGGAGGUACUCGCGUCCUAUCAGCUAGUAGGUGAGGUAACGGCUCACCUAGGCGAAGACGGGUAGCCGGCCUGAGAGGGCGAACGGCCACACUGGAACUGAGAUACGGUCCAGACUCCUACGGGAGGCAGCAGUGGGGAAUAUUGGGCAAUGGAGGGAACCCUGACCCAGCGACGCCGCGUGGGUGAAGAAAUCCUUCGGGAUGUAAAGCCCUGUUGUAUGGGAAGAGCGGAAGACGGUACCAUACGAGGAAGCCCCGGCAAACUACGUGCCAGCAGCCGCCGCAG
rnacentral:rRNA from 1 species